UGGUGACUUCCGGAAAGCCUUGGA
rnacentral:piRNA from 1 species